rnacentral:tRNA from 1 species
GGGGCUACUCAGCUGGGGGAGCGCCACUUUGCACGCAGGAGGUCUGCGGUUCGAUCCCGUAGCUCCACCA